CACAACAAGCAAACGCAGAGAGCCAUACACACAGACACUUACAAUUUGUCACACACUGAUACAGAUGGCCAGAUACACACACACAAGCACAUACAGGUUGUCUCACAUACACAUAAAUAUGGCCAGACACACAAUCACAUACAGGUUGUCUCACACACACAGAUACAGAUGGACAGACACACACACACAAGCGCAUACAGAUUGUCUCACACACACGCAGUUACAGACUACCAGACACAUACAGAGAACCUCGUUACAGGGCGCGCCGCGCGUGAAAAGUGAAAUAAAAACAUAACUGUACAGUGAGUUCUUCAAAAGAAGCCCACAGCAUUGUUCCCACUUGCCCCCACUUGAAGGGCAGACCUGGUCCGUUUCACGUUGAAUCUCCAGACAUGCCAUCCUUACAUCUGAUUUAAUCCAUCAUCCUAUUUUAAAGUAGUGUACACCCAUUUAUUCUAAAUAAGAGAAACCUGUGGGAUUGCAUGAAACAAUUAUAAAAAAAGAUUUUUUCCCGAAAACACUAUAACCAUUACAGUUCGAUGUAUCCCCACGGUAAGGAGUAAAACUGAUUUUCAAAAGUUUGAAUUUUUUACCUGGGGUCAGUCCCCACCUCCACUACCAUCUAUUGAGAGCCAGAAGUUCCUC